CUCGUUCCCCUCUCCUCUCUUUUCUCUCUCUCUCUCUCUCCCCUCCCAUUCGGGUCCGUGCCCCCUCCCUUUCGGCCUCUUCCUUCCCGCCCGAAGUCUGUACCACCUGUGCCCAACGAUUUCCCCGGGGCUCCCAACGGUUCUCUCCGUCCUUGGCGCUCCACCUCCUCCCCUCCCCUCCCGCCCCCCGCCACUUCCCCCACCACAGAGCGCAGCGAGGGCAGAAGCCUAGCGCGUUCAUCGAAGUCCCUCGGGGGUGGCUGGAAGUUAGCCGCUGCUACACUGACCAGAGAGCGAUGGAGUUCACCGCACCGCACUUAUUAAGCGCUUACCGCCUGUCAGUUACAUUGACAACUCAUGAAGACAGCUUUCAGAUGUUUGUUUAGGAAGAUCUUCUAUCACACUCGACCACUGUGGAGCAAUAUCAUGGUGAGAUGUCACCAAAGCUGUUUUCUGGGAGGUCAUCAUUAUCGACUGAUUCAUCACUGCAGUG